rnacentral:rRNA from 1 species
GCGAACGGGUGAGUAACACGUGGGCAAUCUGCCCUUCACUCUGGGACAAGCCCUGGAAACGGGGUCUAAUACCGGAUAACACUCCUCUGGGCAUCCAGGGGGGUUGAAAGCUCCGGCGGUGAAGGAUGAGCCCGCGGCCUAUCAGCUUGUUGGUGAGGUAGUGGCUCACCAAGGCGACGACGGGUAGCCGGCCUGAGAGGGCGACCGGCCACACUGGGACUGAGACACGGCCCAGACUCCUACGGGAGGCAGCAGUGGGGAAUAUUGCACAAUGGGCGAAAGCCUGAUGCAGCGACGCCGCGUGAGGGAUGACGGCCUUCGGGUUGUAAACCUCUUUCAGCAGGGAAGAAGCGAAAGUGACGGUACCUGCAGAAGAAGCGCCGGCUAACUACGUGCCAGCAGCCGCGGUAAUACGUAGGGCGCAAGCGUUGUCCGGAAUUAUUGGGCGUAAAGAGCUCGUAGGCGGCUUGUCGCGUCGGUUGUGAAAGCCCGGGGCUUAACCCCGGGUCUGCAGUCGAUACGGGCAGGCUAGAGUGUGGUAGGGGAGAUCGGAAUUCCUGGUGUAGCGGUGAAAUGCGCAGAUAUCAGGAGGAACACCGGUGGCGAAGGCGGAUCUCUGGGCCAUUACUGACGCUGAGGAGCGAAAGCGUGGGGAGCGAACAGGAUUAGAUACCCUGGUAGUCCA